rnacentral:ncRNA from 1 species
ACAAAGUUUUAUUUUAGCUUUUAAAUUUAUUAUUAAUUUAAUUUAUAUGUAAAUUUUUGUGUGAAAAUUUAUUUAUUUUAAUAAUUUAUAAAUUUUAUUUAUUCGCAAUAAUUGAUAUUAUUAAUUAAAGAAAUUUAGAGAAAGUAAUAUUAUUUAAGUAUUGACUAAAUUUGUGCCAGCAGUCGCGGUUAUACAAAUAAUGCAAAUAAAUUUUAUUAGUUUAAGUUAAAUGAAUAUUAUUUAAAAAAUAAUAAAUUUAUUAGGUGAAAUUAUUAAAUUUAUUAUUUUUAUAUUAAUUAUAAUUAAAGCUUAAAAAUUUUAUUAAUAAACUAGGAUUAGAUACCCUAUUAUUAAAAAUGUAAUUUUAAAAACUAAGGUAGUAAUAGAUAUGUUCUUGAAACUUAAAAAAUUUGGCGGUAUUUUAGUCUAUUCAGAGGAACCUGUUUUUUAAUCGAUAAUCCACGAUGGACCUUACUUAAAUUUGUUAUCAGUUUAUAUACCGUCGUUAUUAGAAUAUUUUAUAAGAAUGUUAAUAUUCUAAAUUUUUUAAAGAAAAUAUAUCAGAUCAAGGUGUAGCUUAUAUUUAAGUAAAAAUGGGUUACAAUAAAUUUAUUUAAAUGGAAAUAAAUUUGAAAUAUUUAUUGAAGGUGGAUUUGAUAGUAAAAUUAUAAAGAUUAAUAAUUUGAUUUUAGCUCUAAAAUAUGCACACAUCGCCCGUCACUCUUAUUAUUAAGGUAAGAUAAGUCGUAACAUAGUAGAUGUACUGGAAAGUGUAUCUAGAAUGCA